CAAGCAAAGGUCGGGUUUGUUUUGCCUCUGACGCACUAAAUCCACUGCGGAAAGGUCUAUUAAACACGCCCAACAUCGUGUCACGUGGGCUGUGGUAGGUUGAUGAGACUUGUCCCAGAAGGCUAAAAACUCGUAUGAUCUUGUGAUACUCGGGAUUUUAGGGUUCGAAUAUACCUGAAAUCACAACUGGUUAAAUGUGUUUUGGAGGAAUUGGAUACAAGAACAAGAUGUUCCUGAGGAUAUACAGUUUGCAGGCUGGGCGAGCCGGAGGCCCCUGAGCAUCUUUGAGGAAAACGGUGCUCUUGCGGCCCCAAGAGAGAAAGUUGGCUCUUGAAGCGAGUCAGUCUCGACUCUGUCGGCUAUCAUGGUGUGAAUACGCGGGCAAUGUUAGGGAAACCGACACCAUUGCUAAAAGCUGCC
rnacentral:sRNA from 2 species